rnacentral:lncRNA from 1 species
CACACACAUCAUUAUUCGUUUGUCCAUUUCACAUUUGGAAUCCACUGCGCGUGAAGGUGCUGCAUUCGCAUCUUUCUCAAUAAUGGAGAAGACUCAGCUCACUCAUUCCAAGCCGUGCUCCUCCUCCCAGGCACCAGUUCUGUUGCACUAAGUUUAGAUUUGCUCAACAUAUAUGUUACAAUGGCGUGCGCAACGCUGCAUUUUUCUUGUUCAGUGCACAUUUGAGUUGACAACGAGAUCGCAAAUGCUAACUGGAAUACCCCGACUGCAGGUUGUCUACCACAAAAAUGGGCUAACUCAAUCCGUUGCAGAUAGGUCUUUAAGUAGAAAAGCUCGUUGCUGUCAUGAGGCUGAAAUGUUUUAUGCUAAAACAUCUGCAAAGAACGCU